CCCAGGAAACCCCUCUGUCUCCCCUGCGCCUGCCAUGAGUGUUGGCCUCCUGUGCUCAGUGGCCUUUUGUCUCCUGCAGGCAGGUCCAGUGAAUGCCGGUGUCACUCAGAGCCCAAACUUCCAAGUCCUGGGGACAGGAGAGAAAAGGACACUGAGAUGUACCCAGGAUAUGAGCCACGACUCUAUGUACUGGUAUCGACAAGACCUGGGACAUGGGCUGAGGCUGAUCCAUUACUCAACCAGUGCUGGUUUCACUGAAAAGGGAGAUGUUCCCAAGGGGUACAAUGUCUCUAGACCAAUUACAGAGAACUUCCUCCUCGAACUGGAGUCUGCUACCCACUCCCAGACUUCUGUGUACUUCUGUGCCAGCAGUUACUCCACAGUGCUGCACAGCUGA